GGGGGGGGGGGGGGGGGGGGGCAGAGAAGGAGAAAAGAGGAGAUGUGAACAGACAGGUAGAAUUAUUCUACAGAUAUCUCCCAUAUGAGCGGGGGCAGAGCCGUGACCAGCAGGAUAAUAGAGACACAUGGACAAAAGACCUCUGAAGCAGAGGCAGAUUCACGGCCAUCGAAGGUUAAGCCGCUCCACUGUUUUCAGGCCUCUCCGGAUUAACAUCCAUUCUCUCUGUAGUCUCUCCAAAUGCUGCAAGAAUGGAUCAAGCCCCAGGAUCUGCACCUCAGCUGGACUGAAGCACAGUGACACAUGAGCUUGAAGGGGUGUUCAGGGUCAUUUGCAGCUUUUGCUCUGCACGACGGCAGCAACUUUGAUGUCGGAGAGGGUUGAAAGACCAGUGAUGUUAGAAUUAGCACGUCUGUGGCUGUCUGGGACUGUCAGUGCCGUGAAACAGCAGAUGGAGUGUUGGAGGAUAAUUAGAGGAAGACAGACUCCGUGAGUCCUGAAAACAUGUUGAGUAGCCUGCUGGCUAAAAAGAGGCCUUUGAGUUAACAGACAGCAAAGAGGGGUUUGCCGGCUGCAUUGUAAGAGGUUUCCCAUCAAAUUUUAAUAGCAUUUGAAGCUCCCUUUAGUGUUCUCUGCUCGGUUCUGGAUUUCACUGGAGUUGGUUCACGGUCAGGUUAUUAUAAAUGACCUAUAAAGAGUUUUAAGCUGCAGACAGCAUAGCUAUGUGGACACCCUGAAAGUAAAAUCAAGCAGGAAUUAUCUAGCUCAAGGGUUAUUUGUAGCUGAUGCUAGGAACCUUUCAAUUCCUAUAGGUAUGGCAUGGUAGCAAAAGUUGACAGCAGACGACACACUGUGCUGGAUUUAGGCAUUUUGGACUCGUGGGCCACAAAGGGUUCUAAAAUUCGAUAGAAGGGUCAGACCAGGAGCAGAGUGUUUUGAUAAUCCACCUUGUAAGAGAAGGAAAUAAGGGCCUAAUGGUAAUUUUAUUUGCAGUGCACCAUUUAUGGUGAGACUCCAGAAUUACAGGGAAAAUUAACAUUAACAAGGAUUAUCAAUAUAUCAAUGGUGGGUUGAUUAGGUUGUUUAACAUGGAAGUAGUUUGGUGGGCUGUUUUUGUUGUUUUUUUAAUCUAAUUUUAAACUUCUUUUAUCUUUCUUUUAUUGUGAAGCACGUAGGUACCCUGAAUGAGUUGUAAAGUGCAGAGGAAUAAAAUGCCAUUCAUUUAUCUAUUCAUUCAUUCAUAAUCCUUUUAAUAAAACAACACUACUUAUGAAAUUGAAAAUAACCAAACAACUCUCUCUGUGAUCUUCAAAGAAAAAAGUCAGAAAAUUAACACCAAUGGGCUACACUUCAAAAAUAUAACCAAGACAGGUUGUCUUCUCUGUCAUAGUCCCAUUGAGACUUUGGAGGGCUGCAGCUCCUCACACAUCUCACAUUUUGUGCUAAACUUCAUGAAUAAAACUGAGCAUCUGCACUGUGUCCUGCACAACUGGGAAGUCAAAUUAUUUUGUCUCCUGCUGCAUCUGGGCAGAAAUAUGCAUUAUUUCAUCAGUCCCUCGUUUUUUGACGGAGUUACGUUAAAAAAUUAACCUGUGAUUGAUAAAAUCCGCGAACUCCUCACUACACACUUCCUACACUUUUCUCAGACAGACUUGAACAUUUUCACACUUUUUUCUCUUGUUUAAACUCUCAAAGUUCAGACCUUCUUAAGAGUUAAGUGCAGGAUAACAGAAUGAAAACAAAGAUCUGAUCACAAUCAAAGAUUUGGACAGCUGCAUCUGACUGUACAUGAGACACGGCACGGAGGAGAUUGAUUGACAGGGUCUCCAGCCAGAAACAGAAAUUAAAUCUCAUGUUCUAUGCAGGUCUCAAUUGUAUGAAACAGAUUGAAAGAAAAACAAUAAAACAUGAAUCUCUGAUAUUGUUUAGCUGGCAUAACCAAACGUGGCGGCAGGCCGGGGGCCAUAGUUUGUCCGCCCCUUUCAUAGGUCAUGUAGCUCUGCUUUUUUUUUUCCAUUUAUACUAAUUAUUUCCCCUUAGCAGGGUCCACAUUGUUUUCACAAUUCUUCUUUCUUACUGCACAUUUGAGCCCCUGCCACAUACCAAAAUCAUUUAUGGGGCUCAAAAGAAAUAUCUCAAAAUCUAUGAACAAAACCAAAGCACAGGUGUCGGCCAUAUCUAAAGGAAGUUUUAAAAUUACUGUAAUAUGGCAUCUAAUUAGAAAAGCAGCUAUACGGCAAAUCAAGUUUCAUGUUAGGUUUUUUCCACAAAGCUCCUCAAUUAAGCGAGGAAAUUAAUAAAUAAACCUCAGACGCCAUGUUGAAGUCUGCUUAAAAUGUUUGGAUACAAGAAAUGAUUCUUCAAUCCUUCACAGCCAAAACAGAUACGUCUUGAGCAUCUUGAUCCAUCCAAUAAGUCUUGGUGUUAGCUUUUCUUUUUUUUUGUUCUGUCCAAAAACUGAGCGAACAGAUGAGAGCUGAAGGCCUUUUGUGUUGGACAGGUUUAAGUAUUAUAGAAAGAGGUUAUGUAUUUUCAGGUAACCAGGGUGUAAAUUUGUAUAAACCCCCUUUUGUUUUUCAAUUAUUUUUCAUUAGACCAGCCAGACAAGGAGAGAGGGGCAGACCCCCGGACCAGGAGCACCCCCAACGACGGGACCCACGGGCGAGGGAGGACCGCCCACCCACCCAGCCAGAUGCAAAGGGGGCCCCCCUACAUGGGGCCCUCCGGCACCAGGAGGCAUAGGCGAGCCAGCGUCAGGACCCCUAGGCCACAGGACAGGGGACAGGGGGGUCCUGUGGCCUGUACCCGGCAGCAGCCAUUUGGCCACCGGGUGCCGGACACCAAGACAAAGCCAGGAGCCGCCCACUACCCAGCCGGAUCCUCGUCUCAGCAGGCCAGCCCCGGCGCCCAACCCAAGCAGCCCAAAGAUCACGACGCAACCACAACUCCACCCCUACCUCCCCACACUACACUACCCUACACACAUUUUUCUGGUUGCCCCCUGCCCCCCCAUCGCCUACGAACCCCCUGUACCGCACGCAUGGCCACCGCUUCGGCCAACAGGCGGUGCUAGCUUUUCUAAGCUGCACAACAGACAUUUUUAAAAUUUCACUGGAAAAAAUGCUUUUGCAACCAUUUCACUUUGGUCCCGUACUGCCCUCUGUGCCUCCUAUAGCUCACCACACUGACGAAUUUUCUGACAUCAGAGGUUCAGAGUGAACUCUGGAAGAAAAGUGCCAAACUGAAGGGAUAAAGUCAGAUAAACUGCUCCAAAUUAAUUUUUGGAAACACUAAGAACUUAGAAACUUGACUUCAAACUUGACGAUGUUUCGCACUAAUAACUCAUACAUUUACAUUAUGCAUUAAGUGCUCUAUAUUUUGUGCCAUAAAAACACAUGAAAUAUAAAAAUAUAGAGAAAUAUUAAUUAUUAUUCUACAUGUUAACUCUGUAUGGUUUUGUUCCCCAGACCAUUUUACAUCACUUUUUUUGCUUUGACAUUUAGCUACUGAAAAAUUAAUAACAACACAAUGAUGUUUAUGAUGAGUUUUUAAAUUAAUAAAUCAAUUUCCUUCAUGGCCCAAGUUUUAACUAAGAUGUAAUAAAUGAGUUUUAUUCUUUCUGUUUUGUCUAAAAAACUAUUAGUUUUGGUUGUUUAUUCUUCAUUUCUCCUGUCAUCAUAACUGCUUUACUGACAAAUGAAUGUUGCAGUGAUGGUUGGGAAACAUGUGUUUAUGAUGUAUCAUAAAAGUAUCAAGAUUUGUUAAAAAAAAUGUAUUUUAAUAACAGAUAAAUUUAAAUGUUAGAAAGGUUUAAUUUAGCCGGCCUAUCUCCUUUUUCUUUGGCUUUUUCUUAUCAAGAUAAACAACUGGACUUUAUCAAAUGAUCUAAAUAUUCCCUGCAUGUUUUUAAUCACAUUUUAGGCUGCUGAAGACACCUCAGAUUCAGGGCGCUGAUAACACUUACCAGUUUUGUGUUGUAUGUUUUUUUUGGCUGGCAACAACAACAAACACAAAAAAACCAAAAAAAAAAGGGGGAAGCGGGGGGCUAGUACACCGAUAUUACAAUAUAAACCCAGA